GAGGAAGUUGUGGCUGCCCUGGCAGAGUAUGAGGGAGUCGGGCAAGAGCUGUGAUGCUGAGUUUCCGUGAUUGUGCAACGCUGCUGGAGAGGGGUACAGCAGAGCCAGGCUCAGCCUCCAACCUGCUCCCGGGAAUGUUUCCCAAGCCGCAGACUCUGCUGGCACCAUGCUUCCCUCCCUGCUCGUCCCACACCCACAGGCUGAGGGCACAUCUGAGUAUGGGAGAGGCUUGCUCCAGAGUCUGGAGCCUCAGGGACCUGCACCCAGACAUCCUGAGGCUGAUCCCACCUCUCCCUACAGGCACCAGUGCCUCCAGGCAGCCCUGGUUACCAGCAUACCUAAGCCAGGCCAGUGAGGGGCUUGGGAAGCCUGUGAAUGGUGCUGGCUGUGAUGGGUCUCAUUACCCC
rnacentral:lncRNA from 1 species